CUUGCACUAAUAUAAGAGGUCCAGCCUGCCCAGUGACCCAGUUCAACGGCCGCGGUAUCCUAACCGUGCGAAGGUAGCGUAAUCACUUGUUCUUUAAAUGAGGACUAGUAUGAAUGGCACCACGAAGGUUACGCUGUCUCCUUUUUCUGAUCAAUGAAACUAAUCUCCCCGUGAAGAAGCGGGAAUUUAAAUAUAAGACGAGAAGACCCUAUGGAGCUUCAAACUAUAUAGCAUUGGCUUUAAUCCAUUUUCACCCCCGGGUUCUCAUACCAACUUUAGCCUUUUAACUAUUAGUUUUGGGUUGGGGUGACCGCGGAGCAAAAAUUAUCCUCCAUGAUGAAUAGAACUACUCUUGAACCAAAAGCCACAACUUUAAGCACCGAUAAACUGACAUAAAUUGACCCA
rnacentral:rRNA from 1 species